CUGGGCCCGGCGGGCUCGGGCCGCACCUCGCUGCUGUUGCGGGCGGCGCUGGCGGGCGGCGCCGACGGGCCCCGAGCGCUGUUCCUGGCGCCCAGCGCCGUCCCGCGGCUCCCGGGAGGGCCCGGCGGGCCCGGCACCGACCCGAGGGCGCUGCAGCGCCUGCAGCUGCGCUACCCCCGCUCGCGGCUGUCGCUGUGUCGGGAGCUGCUGUCGCUGUCGCUGUCGCCGCGCCCCGCUCCGUCCCUGCUGCUGCUGGACGGGCUGGAGCGCUACCUGUCCCCGGCCGUGCCCGCCUGGCGCCUGGCCGCGCUGCUGCUGGAGCUGGCGCGCGUGCCCCGCCGCUGUCCCCAAGGUGUCCCCGCGCAGGUGGUGGCGGCGCUGCGCCUGCCCCCGCCCGGCCCGCGCGUGCUGGGCGCGCUGCUGCGGUUCUUCCCCGCGCGGUGUCACCUCAGCGUGGCAGGGACAGGCGACACGGGGCACAGCCGCCCGCGCCACGUGCGGGUGACGCUGCGCUGCCCCGGGAGCGCCACCCGGAGGUGGCGGCUGCGCCUCGGGGACAGCGGUGGCAGCGAGGGGGACAGACAGAGGGACAGCGGCUGGGACAGCCCUGGGGACAGCGAUGGGGACAGCGAUGGGGACAGCGAUGGGGACAGCGAUGGGGACAGCGGCGGCGAGGAGGAGUGGAUGUGACACGGCCACUGCAGGGGGACACGGAGCCGAUGGCACCUCCUCAGUGACAAGGACGCGAUGUCACCCCCCACUGGUGACACGGACCCAUGGAUGACACGGACCCGAUGUCAUCCCCUCAGUGACAAGGAUGCGAUGUCACCCCCCAUUGGUGACAUGGACCCAGGGGUGACACGGAGCCGAUGUCAUCCCCUCAGUGACAAGGACGCGAUGUCACCCCCCCCAUUGGUGACACGGACCUGAUGUCACCCCCUCAGUGACAAAGACUCGAUGUCACCCCUCCAUUGGUGACACGGACCUGAUGUCACCCCCUCAGUGACAAGGAUGCGAUGUCACCCCCCCCAUUGGUGACGCGGCCACCCCAUGGAUGACACGGACCCGAUGUCACCACCCCCGUCGGUGACAGAGACUCGAUGUCACCUCCCAUUGGUGACAAGGACACCAGGAGUGACACGGACCCAAUGUCACCCCCCCAUCACUGGUGACACCCCUGAUGUCACCCCCCCGUCACUGGUGACAAGGACCCGGCGCGUGACAGGGACUCGGUGUCCCCUCCCUGUGUCCCCUCCCUGUCCCUGGUGACAAGGACCUGACGGGUGGCACGGCCUCAGUGUCCCCUCCCUGUCCCUGUCCCUGUCCCUGUCCCCUGCCAGGCGCUGGGCACAGGGAGGUGACACUGGUGACACACUGGUGACACACUGGUGACACACUGGUGACACACUGGUGACACGGUGCCAGGUGUCCCCACCCGGGCCCAGCUGGGGGUUCCUGAUAAGCCUUAUCAGCCCCUCCCCCACCCAGCCCAGCCCGCCUGG
rnacentral:lncRNA from 1 species